rnacentral:pre_miRNA from 16 species
UAUCUAGUCAAUCAUUACGAUCAGCGGUAUCCAGCCGUUGUAUUCAAUACCAAAUUUGAAUACACGUGCACGGAAAACGCUCAUUGUUUUUGGAUUGCUAUUUU